rnacentral:lncRNA from 1 species
GAUUGAUUAUCUAUAUUUUAUUUAUGUCACAUAAAUUGAGACUAAAAAAUAAUAUAUAUUGGGCCCGUGCCAACCUAUUUAAAUAAAUUUAUAUAUUCAAAUAUUGAAAAAUAAAUAACUUUAAUUAUUUAAUAUUCAUAUCUUAAUUACUUAGUAUUCUGGUAAAAUAUGUGUUACCACCAAACAAAUCUCAUCAUUUUGUGACUUAAUCUAUAAUAUAUUAAAAGUGUGAAGCCCGUUAAAAAGUGAUUUGAAUUUUUUAUCCUUCAUUAAAACACUAUACAAUAGACAAAAUCAUCUUUUCACUAUUUUCCUUAAUUUAUUAUUUAAUUAAAUUUUUAUUUUUUAAAGUCAAGAAAUCCUAAAUUAUACGGUAAAAGAAAAAUAUAUAGAGAAUUAAUAUUGGUAAAUUUUUUAUUUCCUUCUAUAUGUAAAAAAAGAGUCUUGAAAUAUUUGGUAGAAAAAAGAUCCUAAAAUAUAUAAUAAAGAGAAUAAGAAAAGAUUUAAUAGUAGAAAACUUUAAGUAAAAAAGAAAAAUAAAAUCUCACCUAAAGUUUUAGAAAAACCAUUAUACGUUUUCUUUUAAUGUUAUGAUUUUAAUUCCUUUAAGUAAAAAGGAAAAAUAAAAUGUCAACUAAAGUUUUAAAAAAACUAUUGUACGUUUUCUUUUAACGUUAUUAUUUUAAUUUCAAACUAUAUAUAUAUAUAUAUAUAUUUCUUUUCUAUAUAAUAGAAACACUAAUUUUGACCAAUGCUUCAUCAAUUGCUAUACUACCCCAAAUUAUUUCAGAAUUUACUAUAUUACUCCUAAUUAAUUAUUAUAAUUCAUUUAAAUAUUAGAAUUAAUAAUAUUUUUUUAUUAUAUUAUCCCUAAUUAAUUAUUGUAAGUCAUUUAUAUAUUAUAAUUAAUGAUAUUUAAUUAAAAAAUAGACAUUUAUGACUUUUGUUUCAGCUGCUUUAACUGUGAUUUUACUUUAUCAUCCCCAAUUAAUUAUUAUAAGUCAUUUAUGUAUUAAAAAAUUAAUAAUAUUUAAUUAAAAAAUUAGAUGACAUGUCUACCUAUAUUACCUCUAAUUGCCCCGUAAUUUAUUAUAUUACCCCUAAUUAAUUAUUAUAAGAAAUUUAUAUAUUAGAAUUAAUUAAUUAUUAUAAGUCAUUGAUAUAUUAAAAUUAAUAAUAUUUAAUUAAAAAAAUAUUUAUAACGUUUGUUUCAGCUCCUUUAAUCGUGAUUUUACUAUAUCAUUCUUAAUUAAUUAUUAUAUGUCAUUUAUGUAUUUAAAAAUUAAUAAUAUUUAAUUAAAAAAUAGAAGUUUAUGAUGUUUGUUUCAACAUCUUUAACCGUAAUUUUACUGUAUCAUCCCUAAUUAAUUAUUAUAAGUCAUUGAUAUAUUAAAAUUAAUAAUAUUUAAUUAAAAAAUAGAAGUUUAUGAUGUUUGUUUCAACAUCUUUAACCGUAAUUUUACUGUAUCAUCCCUAAUUAAUUAUUAUAAGUCAUUGAUAUAUUAAAAUUAAUAAUAUUUAAUUAAAAAAUAGAAGUUUAUGAUGUUUGUUUCAACAUCUUUAACCGUAAUUUUACUGUAUCAUCCCUAAUUAAUUAUUAUAAGUCAUUGAUAUAUUAAAAUUAAUAAUAUUUAAUUAAAAAAUAGAAGUUUAUGAUGUUUGUUUCAACAUCUUUAACCGUAAUUUUACUGUAUCAUCCCUAAUUAAUUAUUAUAAGUCAUUGAUAUAUUAAAAUUAAUAAUAUUUAAUUAAAAAAUAGAAGUUUAUGAUGUUUGUUUCAACAUCUUUAACCGUAAUUUUACUGUAUCAUCCCUAAUUAAUUAUUAUAAGUCAUUGAUAUAUUAAAAUUAAUAAUAUUUAAUUAAAAAAUAGAAGUUUAUGAUGUUUGUUUCAACAUCUUUAACCGUAAUUUUACUGUAUCAUCCCUAAUUAAUUAUUAUAAGUCAUUGAUAUAUUAAAAUUAAUAAUAUUUAAUUAAAAAAUAGAAGUUUAUGAUGUUUGUUUCAACAUCUUUAACCGUAAUUUUACUGUAUCAUCCCUAAUUAAUUAUUAUAAGUCAUUGAUAUAUUAAAAUUAAUAAUAUUUAAUUAAAAAAUAGAAGUUUAUGAUGUUUGUUUCAACAUCUUUAACCGUAAUUUUACUGUAUCAUCCCUAAUUAAUUAUUAUAAGUCAUUGAUAUAUUAAAAUUAAUAAUAUUUAAUUAAAAAAUAGAAGUUUAUGAUGUUUGUUUCAACAUCUUUAACCGUAAUUUUACUGUAUCAUCCCUAAUUAAUUAUUAUAAGUCAUUGAUAUAUUAAAAUUAAUAAUAUUUAAUUAAAAAAUAGAAGUUUAUGAUGUUUGUUUCAACAUCUUUAACCGUAAUUUUACUGUAUCAUCCCUAAUUAAUUAUUAUAAGUCAUUUAUAUAUUAGAAUUAAUAAUAUUUAAUUAAAAAAUAGAAGUUUAUGAUGUUUGUUUCAACAUCUUUAACCGUAAUUUUACUGUAUCAUCCCUAAUUAAUUAUUAUAAGUUAUUUAUAUAUUAAAAAUUAAUAAUAUUUAAUUAAAAAAAUCAGCUGCUUUGUCAUUUACUAUAUUAACCUAAUUGCUCGGUGAUUUAUUAUAUUACCCCUAAUUAAUUACUAUAAGUCAUUUAUUUAUUAGAAAUUAAUAAUGUUUUUUUUAUUAUAUUACCCCUAAUUAAUUAUUAUAAGUCAUUUAUAUAUUAUAUUUAAUAAUAUUUAAUUAAAAAAUAUAUAUUUAUGACAUUUAUUUCAGCUGCUUUAACCAUGAUUUCACUAUAUCAUCCCUAAUUAAUUAUUCUAAGUUAUUUAUGUAUUAAAAAAUUAAUAAUAUUUAAUUAAAAAAUAGAUGAAAUGUCUGCCUAUAUUAUCCCUAAUUGCUCCGUGAUUUACUAUAUUACCCUAAAUUAAUUAUUAUAAGUCAUUUAAAGUUAUUUAUGUAUUAAAAAAUUAAUAAUAUUUAAUUAAAAAAAUAUAUGACAUGUCUGCCUAUAUUAUCCCUAAUUGCUACGUGAUUUACUAUAUUACCCUAAAAUAAUUAUUAUAAGUCAUUUAUAUAUUAGAAUUAAUAAUAUUUAAUUAAAAAUUGAUAUUUAUGACGUUUGUUUCAGCUGCUUUAACCGUGAUUUUACUAUAUCAUCCCUAACUAAUCAUUAUAAGUCAUUUAUGUAUUAAAAAAUUAAUAAUAUUUAAUUAAAAAAAUAGAUGACAUGUCUGCUGCAGCUGCUUCAACCAUAAUUUUGCUAAAUAUCGCUUAUAAUUAAUUAUUAUGAGUCAUCUAAGUGUAAAAAAUUUAAUCAUAUUUUUUUAAAAAAAAUAGACACAAAAUGAUAAAUUAACUCUUGAUGUAUUAAAUUAAGUUGACCUCCUUCAACCGUGAUUUUACUGUAUCACCCAUAAUUAAUUAUUAUUAGUCAUUUAUGUAUUAAAAUAUUCAUAUUAUUUAAUUAAAACAUUGGUUUCGACAUGGCUGCUUCAAGAGCUGCGCCGUAAUUUUACUAUAUCACCCCUAAUUAAUUAUUAUAAGUCAUUUAUGUAUUAGAAAAUUAAUAGUAUUUAAUUAAAACAAGAAAAAUAUGUGUUUAUGACAUGUUUGUUGCAGCUGUUUCAACCAUAAUUAUCUUUGAGAAGAUGAUCCAAGACUUUGUGUUAAUUGAAGUAUCUUUUGUUCCAGUUUUUAUAUGAAAUAAUCUUAUGAAUAUUAGUUCUACAUCUUUUCUAUAUUUUGUAGCAGGUCUCAAUUUUAUCAUCAAACAAUUAAAAUAACCCGACUACACGACACAUUACACCUUUUUAUCAUGUGGAAAAAAACUAUCUUAUAAAACUUCACUCCUUAGCGAGUACCAUCAAAUAGUUAUUAUUUAAAAAAUUAUCGUUUUAAAUCAAUGUACAUUUAUGUUUGUAUCUCAUCAAUAUUGAAUAUUGGUGCUAAAAGAUGUCUAUAGUGUUGGAUCCGUGCUGACACGGGCCAUGCACCUCUUGUAUAUAUAUAUAUAUAUUAUAUUAUAAUCUAUUUAAAGUGUGAAGGGCGUUAGAAAUGUCGCUUGAACUUUUUACCCUUCAUUAAAAGUCUUUUCUUUAGAUAAAAAUCAUAUUUUGACUAUUUUUUUUAAUUAUUUAAUAGUUAAAAAUCAAUUAAAUAUAUUUAUGAUAAACCUUUAAAACUUUUUAAGAAGAUUUAAAAAGUCUAUAAAUUUACAUCUACAAUAUAUUAAAUCCAUUAACCAUUUGAAAUUUGUGAUGAUAAAAUAUACAUGUGCUUAUAAUAAAAUAUAUAUUUUAAACUUUUUACAAUUCAUUAAAAAAAUUAUCUAAUUUUAAAUAAUCAAAAGUUAAUUGCACGUGCAGCUAAACUAGUAAUUAUACAAAUUUCCAUUGACAAAGUGAGGAGUAUAUUCUUUCAAAUCCUCUAACCAAUUUACAGCGGAGUUGGUAGUCCAAAAUAUUUCAAGAAAACUUGUUUCUCUUGUCUUGUUUCCUUUUAAACCCUUUUGUCCACUCUUUACAUUUCUACUACUCAAUUCAUUUGUUCACCAUAUAUUACCUGCCUUGUCUCCAUCUUUUCUCAACUGGGUAUGCCUUCAAAUUUCACCUAAUUCUGUGCUUUCUUUAGGGUUUCUCAUUGUUUUCAUUAAAUUCAAUCAUUCUUUUCUUUGUGGAUUUACUUUUUUAAGUGUGUUCUUUAUAUGAGAUCCCAAUUCACUUUGUGGGGUUUUUAGUAUUUGAUAAUUUUACUUUACUGUAAGUGAUAUUAUUAUACUUUGUUGCUUUGUUAGAAUUACUAGCAUCAUCUGUUUUCUUUGUGGGUUUUCUUUAAUUCUGCUUAUUGUGUACUCAUUUGGAUCUUCCUUGUUACUGUUUUUUUUGGUGGAACUUAGUGUUUGGAAUUUAGAUUUGUUGUGCCCUUAAAUAAGUGGUGUUUUUAGUUUGAACACACCCUUAACCAAACUACUCAUUCCUAGAAAACAAAGAUUGUUUUUACUAACUUAUCCUUGAUAAAUACUUUGGAAAAGAUAGUACUCUUUAGUAGUUUCUUGCUUAUUUAAAACUCUUUUUAUUUAAAAGAAGUUAAAAAUGAAGGAACAACAUGAAUGUCUUCUUGAUUAUCUAAAGUACUACUUAUUUGGGAAUAAAAUCAAAAGGCUGAAAACCACUUAAUUUAGGAAUGGAGGGAGUAGGCGGACAUUGAUUAUAAAAGUUGGCGUGAAUUUCCAGGUUCAGUUUGUGAUUCUGUUAGUUUUUAGUGCUUUCUUGAUUUACUUUUGCGUUUGUUCUGAAUCUUGAUAGAGGCAAUGUCGCAAGGCUAUGCUAUUGAGCUCUACUUUGAUCCUGCACUGGAAAACCAGGUCCUGAAGGCCUGGAAUGUAUUGGCUCGGCGCCAGAUUAGCACUCAGCUUAUUGAGAUUGAGUCUAGACCUCACAUUACCCUCUUCUCGAGUCCCAAUUUUGAUCCAUCAAAGCUUGAGAACAUUGUAAAGAAUUUUUCGUCCAAGCAAGAAUCUUUGCCUCUGUCCUUUGGUUCAAUUGGAAGCCUCCCAAGUGAUGACAAUGUUCUAUUUCUUGCCCCAACACCAACUUUGUCUCUACUUCAGUUCCACUCACAGCUGUUUGAUGCUAUGAAAAAGGAGGGCAUUGAGAUUGCAGAUGAGCAUCGUCCUGAUACGUGGAUUCCUUAUUGCCCGGUAGCUGAAGAGGUGCCUAAAACUCGUAUGGGGGAGGCAUUCACUGUUUUGAGGGAUCUGAAAUUACCUGUUGCUGGAUAUGCAAUGGAAAUUGCACUUGUCGAGUAUCCUCCAGUUCGUGAAGCAUUUUCUUUUGUGCUUGGUAAUACAGUUGAACCUUGAGGUUUCAGACAUGUAAUUGUGUUGAUUUUAGUUUAGGCUUUUACCUUUCAUAUCCUAUAUAGUUGCUCUUGUAGAACCUGAUAUAGAUGGUUAAGAGUGUUAUUAUCGUUGCUAAAUGGUCAUCUGCUUUGAUGAAAUAUUAAGUCAUUUCUGAUUCUUUCCUAUUGUUCGUACUUGCAUUGAGAUGUUGAUCUCUUAUGUCAGUGUUGGUGAUAAUAACAUGCUUAUUUUUUUUUCUUAUCUAUGGGAAGUCUCUGGUCGACCUCUAUUAGCAUAGAAAUUUUAUUUGCUUCUGUGUUCUAUCUUAUAAAUCAUGAACAUUGUUUGGCUUACGUGUUCUACUUUGUAAGUCUUGAAUGUGGUUCCUUUCAUUCAAAUGUAAUAUGUUUUAGUUCUUGUUAAGUUUAGCAAGUUCGAAUCAUGUGAGGUAAAUUUGCUUUUGUUAAAUAAUGUUGAGUAUAAAACUUGCUUGCGUUUAAAAAUGUUCACUUAUACAUUACUGCAGUACACCUUCUAAUUUGCAAGUCUCAAAGAUCAUGUGCUUUCUUUAGAUUGUAAUAUAUCCUGGUGCUUGUUGAAUUUAAUAUGAUUGAAUCAUGUGAGGGGAGUACAGAAGCUACCAGUUUUGUAUGGUUGGUAAAUCAAAUAGUAUUUGGAGAAAACAUGAGGCAGAGUUGAUUGAUGUACUAGCUGAAUAAACUGGAUAAAAGACAAGAACAGUCCAUUAUGUUUGACGUUGGUUUUGACUAACCCUUUUUUUUUUUUUUUUUUUUUUUUUUUUUUUUUUUUUUUUUUUUUUUUUUUUUUUUUUUUUUUUUUUUUUUUUUUUUUUUUUUUUUUUUUUUUUUUUUUUUUUUUUUUUUUUUUUUUUUUUUUUUUUUUUUUUUUUUUUUUUUUUUUUUUUUUUUUUUUUUUUUUUUUUUUUUUUUUUUUUUUUUUUUUUUUUUUUAAAAUCAUGG